rnacentral:lncRNA from 1 species
UAGCUCACCAUCACAUUGUUGGUGAAGACUGUGAAGGGGGAGUUCAAGAGGUAGUGGCACCAUGUCCACAUGCAGUGGACCAUGGUGGUCAUCUCCUCAUGCAUUGAGUAUUGUCACUUAGUGUUGUUGAGCUUUCAGUCUUCGAAGGCGACCAAGUGGCCAACUUGUAUCAAUACUCUAUUGAUGGUGUAAUUUGACACAUCUGUGUACACCUCGAAGGGGAGAGAAAAAUUGGAGAGGUAGAG